rnacentral:pre_miRNA from 1 species
GAGAUGCUCCCUCCGUCCUGAAAUACUUGUCCUAGAAAUAGAUGUAUCUAGACUUAUUUUAGUUAUAAAUACAUCCAUUAUAUUCAUUUUUAGGACAAGUAUUUUCGGACGGAGGGAGUACACA